rnacentral:rRNA from 1 species
AUUGAACGCUGGCGGCAGGCCUAACACAUGCAAGUCGAGCGGAUGAAGGGAGCUUGCUCCUGGAUUCAGCGGCGGACGGGUGAGUAAUGCCUAGGAAUCUGCCUGGUAGUGGGGGAUAACGUCCGGAAACGGGCGCUAAUACCGCAUACGUCCUGAUGGAGAAAGUGGGGGAUCUUCGGACCUCACGCUAUCAGAUGAGCCUAGGUCGGAUUAGCUAGUUGGUGGGGUAAAGGCCUACCAAGGCGACGAUCCGUAACUGGUCUGAGAGGAUGAUCAGUCACACUGGAACUGAGACACGGUCCAGACUACUACGGGAGGCAGCAGUGGGGAAUAUUGGACAAUGGGCGAGAGCCUGAUCCAGCCAUGCCGCGUGUGUGAAGAAGGUCUUCGGAUUGUAAAGCACUUUAAGUUGGGAGGAAGGGCAGUAAGUUAAUACCUUGCUGUUUUGACGUUACCAACAGAAUAAGCACCGGCUAACUUCGUG